rnacentral:rRNA from 1 species
AUACGUAGGUCUCGAGCGUUACCCGGAAUCACUGGGUGUAAAGGGUUCGUAGGCGGAAAGAUAAGUUGGAUAUGAAAGACCGAAGCUCAACUUCGUGUUUGUAUACAAAACUGUCUUUCUAGAAUUAGGGAGAGGUAAGCGGAAUUCUGUGUGUAGGGGUGCAAUCCGUAGAUACACAGAGGAACACCAAAAGCGAAGGCAGCUUACUGGAACUAUAUUGACGCUGAGGAACGAAAGCGUGGGGAGCGAAAAGGAUUAGAAACCCUAGUAGUCC